UGCAAGGUGGCGCAGUUGGUAGUACAGCAAGAAGGUCCUGGGUUCGAUUCCCGGCCGGGGGUCUUUCUGCAU